GUGCCUUGAGAAUUAUGUGGCUCGCCUGCUCAGACUGUACCGGGCUAGAAAGGAAGCUAUUGGUCAGCAGAUAGAAGACUUCCUGGAUAAGCUUGAUGAACAAACAUCAGACAUUGUGUCUCACCGAAAGAUGACAUCACUGAGAUGCCUCCCCGUUUUUGUCUGGGACGACACAACUAAGUGUGGAGAGACGCAGCCGACGGGCCGACAGCGGGCGGACAGAGGCGUUCUGGACCAAGAUGAAGGCCAGGAGGCGGGGCAUGCGGCGUGACGCACGCGGAGCGGCAGGAGGACGGCCAUCGGAGUCAGCUGCGUAGGACACACAUCUGCUCACAAUCUGCGCAUCUGCUCCUAGACUUUAAGAGAGGCGAAGGGGGCACGAUUGCGAGAGGGAAGACAGGAAAGGAAAGGAAACCACGGCAGCCCGACCACGAGCCCGACGACAGAGAGCAGUCCGCAACGAGUCCCCGCCACAGACGCAGCAGGCGAGCACCAAAGGGUGCAGAGCGACCAGGAAGAGGUGCCGGCGCACUAGAAAUGGGUGCGCCCGACUGGCCCGAAGAAAGGUUGUUUGAACCAAUAAAUGGGAAUCAAACCUGCUACGAUGCGUCGUGUGUUCAAUGUCACAGCAACCCACACGAGGACGGCUGGGAGUUUGUCACAUACGUUUUUCCUGCAGCAUUUGGAAAGUGACCCUGAAGAAAGAGUGCUCAGAGGCAUGUCUGUUGGCAUCCUUACAAUCCUUGAAGAAGAUGAUCCUGCUGUAUCACCCAACUUGUGUUGGAAGGUUCCAUGGUGCUACAUGACCUGCCAGACCUCGGUACCGCCUUUGCAUACCUCUUUGGCCUACUGUAUGCCAUCAACAUUGAUUAUCCAAAGGAGAUGACGUACACCUUUGAAGCAAUUCAGUCUAUCUUUUUCCAGCUUGGCUCUCAGUGCGGCCCUGCGAUGAGGUGGCGACUUGUCCAGGGUGUACCCUGCCUGCCGCCCGAUUGUAGCUGAGAUAGGCGCCAGCGCCCCCCGUGACUCCAAAAGGGAAUAAGUGGUAGAAAAUGGAUGGAUGGAUGGGCUCUCAGUGCUCUCAGCGGACAAGGUCUCUGAAAACAAAGCUUUUGCUGUGACUCUUAAUGUGGAAGCCAACCUAUGUUUUCUGCCUGUUCGAGUGCGUUGUGGUUGGUGCUCAUAUAAAACUUCACGGCCAGUGAUUUAAAACAUGCAAGGCCACACGGAAAACAAUUAUAUUUAUUUUCAAAAUGUAUUUACAAUUAAGUGAGAUACACCAUUUUUUGAAUUUUUUUUUUUUUUCAAAAUGUAUUUAAAAUUGAGUGAGAUUCACAAAACGCCAUUAUGCCACAUAACCCGCCAGAACUCGGUACUGCCAUUUGUUAUGUAGCAUAUUGGUAUUUUGUGAAUCUCACUUAAAUGUAGAUAUAUCUUUUUCUUUACAUUUAAGUGAGGUUGACAAGAGGUGCAUAUUCACUGUCAACUGAUCAAGUUUGUCAACUCUUCUAAUUUACUAAACACAUUUUCUCUAUCUAUGAUGAUAAUUCUAUCAUCAAAUCAUUACACAAUUAUAUUGCCUGGCUGCUGUAAAAGCAUUUAUUUCUUAGCUUUUAACUUUCUUAGCUGGUUUAUUCACUUUAAAGAAAAUAGCUGGGAAAGUGUCAAGGUCUCUGACACACCCAAUUGAACCCUUAUGUUAAACAUGUUU